rnacentral:rRNA from 1 species
UACGUAGGGUGCAAGCGUUAAUCGGAAUUACUGGGCGUAAAGCGCGCGUAGGUGGUUUGUUAAGUUGGAUGUGAAAGCCCCGGGCUCAACCUGGGAACUGCAUCCAAAACUGGCAAGCUAGAGUAGGGCAGAGGGUGGUGGAAUUUCCUGUGUAGCGGUGAAAUGCGUAGAUAUAGGAAGGAACACCAGUGGCGAAGGCGACCACCUGGGCUCAUACUGACACUGAGGUGCGAAAGCGUGGGGAGCAAGCAGG